rnacentral:rRNA from 1 species
UACAGAGGUCUCAAGCGUUGUUCGGAUUCAUUGGGCGUAAAGGGCGCGUAGGCGGUCGUGUGCGUCGGAGGUGAAAUCCCCGGGCUUAACCCGGGAGCUGCCUCCGAUACGGCAUGGCUUGAGUCCGGGAGAGGGGAGCAGAAUUCCCAGUGUAGCGGUGAAAUGCGUAGAUAUUGGGAGGAAUACCGGUGGCGAAGGCGGCUCCCUGGACCGGUACUGACGCUGAGGCGCGAAAGCGUGGGGAGCGA